rnacentral:rRNA from 1 species
AACGAACGCUGGCGGCAUGCCUAACACAUGCAAGUCGAACGAGACCUUCGGGUCUAGUGGCGCACGGGUGCGUAACGCGUGGGAACCUGCCUUUAGGUUCGGAAUAACUCAGAGAAAUUUGAGCUAAUACCGGAUAAUGUCUUCGGACCAAAGAUUUAUCGCCUUUAGAUGGGCCCGCGUUGGAUUAGCUAGUUGGUGGGUAAAGGCCUACCAAGGCGACGAUCCAUAGCUGGUCUGAGAGGAUGAUCAGCCACACUGGGACUGAGACACGGCCCAGACUCCUACGGGAGGCAGCAGUGGGGAAUAUUGGACAAUGGGCGAAAGCCUGAUCCAGCAAUGCCGCGUGAGUGAUGAAGGCCUUAGGGGUUGUAAAGCUCUUUUACCCGAGAUGAUAAUGACAGUAUCGGGAGAAUAAGCUCCGGCUAAACUCCGUGCCAGCAGCCGCGGUAAU